rnacentral:rRNA from 1 species
UACGGAGGGUGCAAACGUUGCUCGGAAUCAUUGGGCGUAAAGCGCACGUAGGUGGCCUGUUAAGUCGGGUGUGAAAUCCCUGGGCUCAACCCAGGAAGUGCACUCGAAACUGGCGGGCUUGAGUACUGAAGAGGGUCGCGGAAUUCCCGGUGUAGAGGUGAAAUUCGUAGAUAUCGGGAGGAACACCAGUGGCGAAGGCGGCGACCUGGGCAGAUACUGACACUGAGGUGCGAAAGCGUGGGGAGCAAACAGG